rnacentral:rRNA from 1 species
UUGAAAGGGAAACGAUUGAAGCCAGUCGUACCUUCGGGUAAUCAGCCUUUCGGGUGCGAUUCUGUGGAGUUUGAGGAGUUUAACACCUUCAUGCUUUGCAUAUUUGUGCUCUUGGGUGUACUUGCCCGUGUGGUUGGUUAACAUCAAUUUCGGACACCAUAAAAUGGCUGGAGGAAUGUAGCUUCGAUCUUGUAUUGAAGUGUUAUAGCCUCUGGUAGAUGUGGUGAACGAAACUGAGGAUUGCAACGAAUACCCUUCGGGCUAUCCGUCUGACCUCUGAAAGUUGCUUGGGUGCCGAAAGCUUGCUUACGGUCAUCCAUGACGACGGUCAAAAGGUUAGAACGCGAUUACAUUCGUUAAGGAUGUUGACGUA